ensembl:lncRNA
GAGCAUUCCUGUACCCAGGGACUGCCAAUCCACAGGGCUGCAGGGUUCACCAAGCUGCAAGAGUCAGCAUGGAGGAGAAUGAGGAGAGCCCCCCUUGGACAAUGCUUCUUUAUAGAGAGUAUAAAAGUCGUGUGAGCCCUCAAGGAUAACAUUUGUAACGUGCACCCAAACCUCACUGCAAGUUACAGGGUGCUAUGUUAUGAGCAUUCUUGUGUCCCUUUAAACCUCUCAGGCUUUGUGUCUGUAUUAACAAACAAUUCAUUCACAUUUUGCUAUUUAGAGGAAAAGCUCAGAAUAGACUUGGUUAUUUGAUACUAAUUAUUUAGCAGGUAUAAAAGCAUAUUCAAGUCCCUAAUCUCCUUUCUGAGCAGGCAGGCAUGCUCAUGUUCAAAUAGUUGCAUAACUUGCCCAUCUCUAGUUGACAAACCCUCCUAACUUUGUUUUCAGAUCACAUGCAACCCCACCCCCGGCCAAGCUGUGUGCAUAGCUGGUCUGUAUUACAGCUUGCUGUUAAUCUCAUUCUCCUUUCACUGCUCUUCCUGCAGUUGGUUGCUUGUGUCUUGUAAGGUGUAUAAAGGACCAUCUGUUCAGGAAAGGGCUGCCCAACAUCUGUGCAGCUCAGAGCACCUUGGGUGGAUAUUGGUAAAACAAAUCUAUGAAAAAAUUCACAAUGACAAUUUGUACUGACUUGAGAUGUAAGAGAUUUGCUGGAUCUUGCUUCGCCUCUCUCCAUAGAAUCAUAGAAUGGAUUGUGUUGGAAGGGACCUUAAAGGCCAUCAAGCUCCAAACUCCUGCUGUGGGCAGGGCUGCCACUCACUAGAUCAGGCGCUAGACCAGGCUGCCAAGGCUCCCAUCCAGACUGACCUUGAACAUCUCUAGAGAUGGGGCAUCUACAACCUCUCCUGGCAGCUCAUUGCCCUCUGAGUAAAGAAUUUUUUGCUAACAUCUAACCUAAAUCUCCCCACUUUUAGUUUAAAACCAUUCACUGUUUUCCUAUCGUUAUCAGAUCAUGUAAAAAGUUGUUCCCCCUUCCUGCUGAUAAGCUCCCCUCAGAUUCUGAAAGGCCACAAUGAGGUCUUCCCUCAGCCUUCUCCAAGCUGAACAAACCCAGUUCUCUCAACCUAUCUCUAUAGGAGAGGUACUCCAGCCCCACAGUCAUCUUUGUGGCCCUCUUCAGAACCUGCUCCAACAGCUCCACAUCCUUCUCAUGUUAUGGGUCCCAGCCCUGGACACAGGACUCCCGAUGGGGCCUCACAAGGGCAGAGCAGAGAGGAACACUUCCCUCCCUCUCCCUGCUGCCAUCCUUUUGAUGCAGCCCAGGAUACAACCCUUUUGGCUUGCAAGUGCACACUACUGGUCUUUGUCCAGCUUUUCAUCCAUCAGUACACCCAUAUAUCUAGAUAUGUAUCUAUGUACAUGUAGGUUUGUGUUUGCUUGUGUAUUUAUCUGAACAGUUGGUGUAUGGUAUCAGAAGCACACAGGUCCUGCGGAUGGUGAAACGAGGGCAGUGCUGGUGUAAAGAAAUGUGAAGUGUUUCUAACUGGCCAAUCUUUCUCAACUGUUCACAUCUUCUGUUUAAAGAAAACUGACCAAAUCAGUAGAAUCACAGAGGAUUCAAAUAAAAGUAAAGCCAGGGCUGAGCCUGAUACUGGGAAUUUUGCUGAAUUAGGCAUAAAUUAGAUGUUAUCUCUCAGCCAGUUAAGAUGAUACCGAAAGCAGAUACUUCAAACUGUUUGCAGUGUGUGAGAGUUUCUAAUCUCCUUUCAUAUAAUUUAGAAUCCAACCCAGAGCCAGGGCUGUGGUUUCAAGGCACGGCUGGAACAGAUACCGGAUUUCUAUGGGUGCUGGGGAAGUCAAGGAAAUAAAGCAGUCUUCCAGCUCUGUGCAUUAUCGUUGCAAACAAUAGCCUGCUGGCACAAAACAAGUUUUAAUUGAUUGUUGCUAUUGAUUUUACAGGAAGCAAAGCAGAAGAAAUUCAACUUGAUUUUUGUAAGCUGAGGUGACCUGAAAAACACAAAGGAGAAAAAGAGAAUAGAAAGCCCUCCCACAUUUUGCCCAGUUCUGUGAGCUUACAGCUGAGCGCUCCAUAAAAACCCUGUCCAUUGAUUCCCUAUGUAUUUUGACCAUAUUGAUUUUCUCAUUAUAUAAUCUCCAUCUGAAAAUUUUAUUCAGAUUGUACGUUUUGCACUGUCACUGUGCAGAUCAGAGUCCCGUCUUGUUUCUUUCUCCUCUCCCUUUUGACCUCUCCAGUCUACAUGGGGUAAAAGCUGCACCUGGAAAUUUAUGUCCUACCUUUCUGCCGGUCUUCCCUUUCUGGAACGUUUUCUGUUCAGGAAGAGCCCAGGAUAUGGGAUUUGCCUCUACUCCUGCUGCUCUACCAGAGCCAGGCAGGGAGCAGAGGAGAUAGUCAUAGGCUGCCAGAUGUACUGAGACAGAUAAUUAGCCCAGGUGGGUAGGCUUGUGCUUGCUGAGGGGCCUCUGGCUGGAGCUGCUCAGGAAGGGAGGAGAUGGUCAACUUUGUGGGAUGCUGCUUAGAUUUAUUCUUUCCCCAAGCUCCCCUUGGGCAUGGAUUAGGAGGCUGAGUGGGUGAAGUUGGAGGAUUGUAGUGGUGAUGCUUUUGUAGAGAAACAGCAAUCAUCUCCACCAAAUAGAUCGGCAGCAUCAGCAACCAGACACAAUUCAGAAUGGAAGGCUUUCAGGUUUAAGAUGAUGUAAACCCACAGAAAUGCAAGAUGAUUUGAACUGCGCCACAUCCAUGACAGUUGGUCGGCAGAGAUAUUAGCCAAUGAUGGUAGAAGAUACUUACGUGAAAAUUUGCAGCUAAUACUGUACUCCAAAUACUAUGAUCAUCAGACGAACAGAAAGGAUAAGAAGAUCAUUUUGAGAAGUUUUCAAGGAGACAACUAGAAAAUGUUGAUUUCAAAGUUAUAGUGUAAUUCGAGUCAAUGUAUGAUGGAGCAAUGUGGAAAUUAUCCCAGCUUGACGAGAUGCAAGACCUUACAAGUAACUCUACAAAAAUUAGAAUUAUUGGACGAGAAAAGCACCUCAAUGAUACAUUGCACUUCAGUGGCUUCAAGGGUCCCUGGAUGAAGCCAUUUAGCACUUGGUAUGUUUUGGAAACUUAGGUAUGGAGCAUUCCUGAAAGAGUCUGAACUCAGACGCCAGACAGGUCCCUCAUGUUUCCAGCUUCUCUGAGUCUACAUAGUUUGGCAAUAAAUGGGGAACUGAGAGUGGCUCUGAUAACAGAACAAGUUCAGAAACUUAACGCUCUCUCAGACCCGAAACCAUGACAACUGACAUUGCUGACAUCCUUUUCACAAGUCCUAUUGCACUCUGUUAUCUUCAGCUUCUAACUCUGCUUUGAGAGAAACGUCUUUAUUUGAGGAGCUUAAAACAGCCUCAGGUCUUCAGGACUGUGGCCCUGUUUUCCAACGAGGAUGUGGGAGCUGUAAGGGCCAGUGAGAGACUUACUGCUAAUGGACACAUUACCUUUACAAUCCUGGAGUAUAUUGUUAUUCAGAUAACAGGAAAUACUCAUCAAUACUGCUUAAGGUCUGAAAAAGUAAAAAGGACAACCUAGCUGAUGUAACUACUCAAUUACAGUUAAGAUUUAGAUACAUUAACACAGGAAACAUUAAUUAAUGUAACUUCACUGACAGUGACUUCAAGCUUUAACAGUGACUUCUAGCUGCUAAUGUUAUAGUUUUACAAGAUGUUAAUGCAAUUCUAAACAUUUUUUGAAGAAUAAGGCAGCUUGAGAGGAAGGGUGUAAAAUCUUUGAUUCUCUUCACCUUAAUAUUUAAAGAAUAAAACCAUUCUGGAAUAACAUCUUCAGAAGAGAACCCUCAAAUAUACAGACAAUCUUAUAAAACACAGAGUUUAUGGUAAAAAAUUAUGGAAAUAUAGAAAAUCAAGUCUGACAGGGAAAACAUGUUUGUGAACAGUUGGAACUAUUCUCCUGAGUGUCACUUUUAAUGAUAAUUCAUAGUCAUUGAGGCCAUUAAGAUUGGAAAAGACCUCCAAGAUCAAGCACAACCAUCCACCUACCACCAAUAUUUCCCCACUAAACCAUGUUCCUCAGUACAACAUCUAAACAUUUCUUGAACACCUCCACGGACAGUGACUCCACCACCACCCUGGGCAGCCCAUUCCAGUGCCUGAUCACUCUUUCAGAGAAGAAAUUUUCCCUAAUAUCCAACGUGAAUCUCCCCUGGCGCAACUCCAGUUCUCUCCCCAAUCCCACUUGGAAGAGGAACAGUGAAUGAAUGACUGUGUGGUGCUUUGCCACUUGCUGGGUUAAACCAUAACAGUAAGGCAAUCUUUUAAUUCAAUAUAUGCAACACUUAGUGCAGUAAGAUCUUGUUUAAUGGAUCUUUGGCAUUAUGUUACCAUCAUUUUUCUUACUGAAAUUUAACUUGAUCAAAUUCAUAGUGAAGUGGAAUGAAAUCUUCCCAGUUCACAAAACAUUACAGCAGUUAGAACCACUGCAGUUCUCAUCUGUUACAUUCUAGCCUUAUACCAGUGUAUUAGUGUAAAGGUAUAUUUCACUAUAAGAUGAACCUCAAGAGGGCCUAAACUGCAUUUUUAUCAAAUAAUUUUGAAACAAUUGGAGGAUUGCUGGAAGAGUUCUUAAGUUAGAGGAUGUUCUAUCCUCUCUUGCAGGCAGGUCAAGUCAUAGCACAUCCUGAAGCUGGUUCUGCUCUGACAGCAUGCCUGCACGCCAUGCAAUGGCCUUGGUGGAGAAACAGUGCUGUGUCAGAAGGAGCUGUUGAUUCAUCAUGAUUAAAAAAUGAUCUUCAGAAUUCUUGGAAAAUGGAUGAAAUAUCCAUUAUAGAUUUUAUGAGUACUGUCUUUAACAUGAAAGCUUUUUAAAUUGACCAUGAUUCAUACUAAUAAAUGAAUAUACUUUAAAAAAAAUAGAAUCUAGAAUACAGGACUGCAGAGAACAACUCAAAACCUACAGUGACUUUUUGAGUUACUCUGUGGUGAAGAAGUAAGUAGAGAAAGACAAGUUGAUGAAUUAGGCCAAAUACUUUGCACCUUUAACAUCUACUGAAAUGGAUGGGGGCUGAAGAUUCAUACAGCAUCUUGCACAUCAAGGCUUUGUUACCACUAUUAGGUCCUUUCCCAUUAUGAAAACUACCUACGAGACCAUCCUUGAUGUCUGAUGUGCCUUGAUGGGCAGAACUGGAAGAGGGACAGAACUGUGCUUCUGACUCCUGUUUACUCCAUACUGCAUGAUUGUUACGUUCAUGAACCUGGUUUGGCAAUCACUGUAAAGGAGGAAAUAGUAAUCAUGUAAUUUCUUCAUAUACUGGAAAAAAAUACAAGAAAUAAGGCUGAGCUGUUUUUAAACAACCAAAGAACUAUUUGGAAAAUAAUUACAAAGCAAUAAAUGGGCAUACGUGAGGCAUAUAUAUCAAGACAGUGAAAGACAGGAAGUAGGAAAUGACAUUUUUCCUGGCCUAAUGUAUGAUAAUAAUCACAAGAAAUUGCAAUUUAGAGAAAACACAUUUCUUUUUGCUCCUAUCUGUAUUUUGGUAAAUUACUGUUCUCUGUUGUGACAGAAAAUUAAUUGCUACUGUGUCUGUUGAUUGCUUCUUAAUGACAUUGUAAUACACAGCUUUUUGGUUCAAUGUUAUUCUCAAUUCAAAUAUCUUUGUAAAUAUCAUAUACGGACUAUCUUGUAAGUAUGAUAUGAUUCAAGUUAUGCUUGUAAAACCUCCACUUAAAAUGAAUCUCCAUGUGACAGGUAAUUGGCUGCGGGCCUUUUUUUUGUUAUUGAUUUAACUUAAUGCCAAUGUACACAGGUGUGUUGGCGGGUUGUUCAAGCUUCCAAGGCACCCACAUUUGGCAGGACAAUUAAUUGUUGCAUAAUAAGAUUAUUUUCCCCCUUCAGUCCUGAAUCUUUUCAAAAGUUGUAUUUUAAACCUUUGUAGGUAUGUAUGUGGGUGAGAGAAAAAUACCCAACAAUGUUACCAUGAGGCAUGUUUCGAUUUAUUGUUUGAGGUGCUCAAGGAAACAGCAACAUAUAGAUAAGAUAUCUGCAAAUAUAUAUUUGCCAACUGAAGUGGAAAAAAAGAACAAAAAGCUUUAUAUAAUCAGGCUUUUACAUGCUAUAUAAAAUUCUAUAUUGCUAUCAGACAAAAUUGCUUAUUUUAGACAGAAAUACUACACUGAAAAUAUUAGCUGUCCGGUCUGCUUUACAUGUAGAUAGGAGAUACAAUUUGCCCUUGGACACAGAAAUAUCUGCAUCACAGACGCCCAGCGAAGGACUCAUUUGAAUACUUUGAGCAAAAUCCUGGCUCUGUUGAAGUUGAUGGGAAUUUUGCCAUUAACUUUGGUUGGACUUCAGUUUGCUUCUCCAGUGUGUAGUAAGGUAUGCAUCCCUGAGGAGUACACAGGGUAAUCUGGAGAAAGUGAACAACGCCACAGGAGUAACAGCUGGCCCAAAUUCUAGGGAGAGCAGUGACCUUAGAGGAAAAGAAGAGGCAGCACUGCUGUGGGAAUGCAUUGUAUGGAGAGGUGGGAGGAGAUUUCAUGAAAGGAUGUACAAGAUUGUUCCAAGCAUAGCAGGUAGCAUGACUGAACGUGUAAAAUCAAGAGCUGAAGAAAACACUUCUACUUUCACAAGCCCUAAGAAAUGAAUGAAGAAUGAAAAGUGUUGUGUCCAAACUUUGGAAGAGCUGGUUCUGUGAAAAGCUGUGUGAUGGCUCUUCUUUUACCCAGGUGUUUAUCUUGGGCUUGGUUCAAAAGCAAGGAUUUGUUUUGCCUUCCAGAUUUAUCCACUAAAUUGUGUUUCAUGGGGUCAUGCAAUCAGCUGUCCUCUCAUAAGAAAAAGGCCACAGCUGAGGAAACCAGGCCAGUUCAGGACUGCAGAGCCUUUGCCUGAGUGACUCUGAGAAGCUGCAUUGCACCUGAGUGGAAAAUCACUCUCCCAGGCCAAGGGAUGAUUUUUUAUCCUGGUGCUUUGUUUUCUAAAAAACUAUCCUGUCAAGCUGUGACUUAGGUUAAAAGUCAUUGGCACCACAGACAAGAAGUUGUCUGCUUCCAUAUAGAAGAGCAGAUGAUACACAUUCUGUAAAAAUCCAUAUAAAAUAUUUAUCAAAAUCUCAUUGCCCUGGAUGCCUACCAGAGACAAUCUGAAAAUUAAAUAAUUGCUGUUUAACUUUCUCUUUAGACACCCAAACACUUUAUUCUGCAGUAUAUGGCAAUGGAGUAAAACAUACCAAAAUAAAACUUUGUUGACAUAGAGCUUUGUUUUAAUUUAAAGGGCUCUCAGAAGUCCAGACUGCUCAGAAAUAAUCCCAUUUUUUCUUGGCUGACUGCAACAGCUGACAGACACUGAUACAGAAGAUGAGAUGCAUGUAUGUGUGAAAGAUGGUAAUGGUAAUGGUUUGCUCUCCACCAGCAGAAAUUAAAGCCCAGUCAGUAUUUUCAGAUUGCUUAUUAACCCUGUUAGAUUGGUUUGGGAGAAGAACCAUCCCACAUGGAAAAUGCUCCCAGCUGCUGUGAGCACAGUGCAGUAGAAGCAGGUACUGCCAUGUGUGCUACUGCAGACAGUGGUAAGCCCCCUCCCUUCCCCUAUGCUUAAAAACAAAACAAGACAAAACAAAACUCAGUUUCUUCGGUGUACACAAGAGAAUGUUUGGCAUUUGCUACUACUGAGCAGCAUUCUUGCCGUGUUUUGCUAUCUGUCAAAUGGCAUGCUCAUCCUCUGCCAAGAAAAAUACUUGUUUCCAAUACUAAUCACGCUCCCUGACUACCCUCUAGUGUAUAUUCUUCCUGGACUGCUAUCUGUCCAUGCAACAUUUGAAAGAUAUUAAAAUGAUUAUGAUGAAAUCUCUUGCUUACUGUGCUGGCAAGAGCUGGGAUAUGCUCCAGAGUCAAUGCCUGUAGUUCCCAGGGAGAAGGCAGUGCCUAAAGUUGCUUCUUACUGACUGCCUCCAUCCAUCCACAUGUAGGCAGGACAUUGUCGAGCUCUGUGUGGAGCCACAGACAGGCUCUGCUCUGGUGUAAUGUUGUUAAGGUAUGAGUUGCUGGAGAAAUGAUGAAUAAAGAGCAGUUGGUAGGUAGAUCCCAGAGCCACAAGUGAUUGUACUUAUAAAAGGAGAAGAUUGUUGUGAAAUGUGUAAUGAUACUUGAAAGGCAGUAGCUGGCAAGUCAGCAUGAAUGGUUUUCUAUUUUGCUCUUCAUUUGGUGAGAUGGAAUAAGGGUAUCCACACUGGCCCCAACUCCUCAGACUGGGGAUGAUACAACUACAAGGUGCAUCCCUACAUGGUCAGAUCAUUUUGGUAUCUCCUAAUGCUAACACCGAGACUUUCGGCCUUUGAAAUUCCUGGAAGUCUUAUGAGGAGUGACUGAGGGAACUGGGAUUGUUCAGUCUGGAGAAGGCUCAGGGGAGACCUUAUUGGUCUCUACAACUGCAUGAAAGGAGGUUGUAGUGAGGUGGGUGUCGGCCUCUUCUCCUAGGUAACAGCAGUUAGGAUGAGAGGUGAUGGCCUUAAGUUGUACCAAGGGAGGUUCAGAUUGAAUGUUAGGAAAAAAUUAUUCUCAGGAAGAGUAGUAACACAUAGGAACAGGCUGCCUAGGGAGGUGGUGGAGUCACUGUCCCUGGAAGAGUUCAGGCACUGAGGGGUAUGAUUUAGUGGGCAUGCUGGGGAUGAGUCGACAGUUGGAGCAGAUGAUCUUGGUCUCUUCCAACCUUAAUGAAUCUAUGAUUCUAGGAUAAUGAUUCUAUGAAGGAUUAGCCAGUUGUUCCUCCACCUAAGACAUAACUUUUUACUUCCCCCCCCCCCCAAAAAAAAAAAAAAGUUUUUUGAUCGACAUAUUCAUAUGUCCAUUUGGCAAUUAAAUGUUCUGUUUUUAUCCUCCACAAUGUAAGAGCUGCAUCUCUUUCAGGAAUCUAAAUCUGAUUUGUGUCCCACCUUACCAACAGACUAAUUAUGACUUUAGCAACAAGUGCCCUGAGACACCUCUGCAAACUAUUGAUGCUCAGAGUUGAUCAAGGAGAAGCUAGAAGCAUCUCCACAUAUUCCUGUUGUGCGUUGCAAGCCACAGCUCAACCACCACCAUUAUGGCAAACUUCAUUUGUUUUUGCAGACAUCAGGGUGGAAUUUGUGUCAUUUCUCUUUCAGCAUCUACAGAAUAGAUAUCUACAGCUGUGCUAAUCACUCUGGGCUCUCCUUAUAGGCAAGGAAGAGAAAUAAGUGUUUUUAGGGUGCAGUUUUCCUGACCUACUGUAUACAUUUACUUAAGGAGGACGAAUCACACUCAAGAUUCCUAUGCAUAGCCUGUCUAUGUCCUCACUGACUGUACUGAUAAUCUGGGAUGAUUAGCUUAACUGCGUACCAUACGCAUGUUUAUUUACCUCUGCUUAAUUACAUAAGUGAUAUCCACUGCCCAUUACAGAGCAGGCUUUGAAUGUAGAUGAUGUAGGCAAUUUCUGCAAGUAUUAUAGCAGACUGAAGCAAGCAGUGGUGCAUCCUCUUUCCAUGAAAUGGAAGAACUGUCUUUGUUGAGAGGAGGAUACUCUAAUUCCUUCUGUUUCUCCAUGGAACAGGACCUGACUCUUCUGGAAGAAGCAAAUAGGAGACAUUGACGUUGGCAGCAGUGUGAACUGUAGGUGGAGGAGUUAAUUGAGAGGUAGUUUAGGGACAUGGCAGGUUGCACUGGCUCCCAAAUGAUUAGAGAUGGUGGGGGAUCUGGUUGGGGAUUUGCUUAAGGAUCCCACCCAACUCUGCUCCAGAGGCAUUAAACAUCCCUGUGCUACCUAAUUCCAUUCCUUCUUUGUCUCAUGGAGUGUCCUGAAACCUCCUCAUAGCCCUCACAUUCACCUCCCCUCUCUCUCUCUCCAAAACCCAAUUUCCUCUCCCCAUCCUCCAAAGUGCCCUCAACUGGUCUCUUCUAGCCUCCUUUCUUGAAAGCUCUUCUCCAUCUCCUUCAAACUGUGAGGGGUCUUCAGAUCAAAGAGCAUUAGAGGGUGUAUGGUGGCAUGCAGUUUCCUAUGUUAGCUUGUGUUUUCAUAGAAUGGCUUGGGUUGGAAGGGAUCUCAAGGAUUAUCAAGCUCCAACCCCCCUGCCACAGGCAGGGCUGCCAACCUCCACAUUUAAUACUAGACCAGGCUGUCCAAGGCCCCAUCCAACCUGGCCUUGAACACCUCCAGGGUCAGGGCAUAGACAGCCCCUCUGGGCAGCCUGUUCCAGCACCUCACCACUCUCACAGUAAGGAACUUUCCUCUUAUAUCCAACCUAAAUCUUCCCUCCUUCAACUUAAAAUCAGUUCCCCUUGUCCUGCCAUUAUCUACCCUUUCUAAGAGCUGUUUUCUCUCUCCUGUGCUUGUGUUUUAUAUUUUUCAAAGUACAUUUUUCAAAAUUUGAAUGAUGCUCACUUAAGGGAACACUUAAUAAUUUUGUUUACAGUUAGAAAUCUUAAUUAAUAAGAAAUAGCCAUAAGAAUGGCCCAGGAACUUCAAGAGAACACAUAAAAUUUCCUCUGGAGCCCAGAAUGAUGCCCAGAGAAAGGUCUCCAGUGAUGUAUUACAACACUUUUUAAACUUAAAUUGCAUAAUGAAUAUUCAUAAUACUUAUUAUAGCAUAAUUAGUGAAGUAACAAGGGUUUGAAGAUAGGAGUCUGGCAAGAUCUGUACAAGAGAAAAUGCCCCAUCCCUGGAGGUGUCCGAGGCCAGGCUGCAUGGGGCCCUGAGCAGCCUGGUCUGGUGCCUGAUUUAGUGGGUGGCAACACUGUCCAUGGCAGGGAGUUGAAACUAGAUGGUCUUUGAGGUCCCUUCCAACCCAAGCCAUUCUAUGAUUCUAUGAAGAGAAAGAAAUUUAAUUUGUUUGCCUGACUGAGGUAUGAGGGAAAGCAGACAAGCUUUAGGCAUGAGGCCUUUAGGUAAAUAGUGAUAGAGAGAUUACAACCUCCGAAUUAUGCUUAUGGAUCAUAUAAACUCUACAUGGCUGGAAUCAGAGGACACAUUUCAUAUCAAGGGAAAUUUUUAAUAGAAACAACAAGUUGGUUUUGGUUCACCUUUAUGGUUUUAAAACUGUGAGAUGAAAUAUUUUUCCUACAUCUGCAAAAUAUUUUGAAUUUUGAAAAUGUUUCUAUCUGAAGUGCAAUAAAAAGCAGGAGCUGCAAUAAGUUGAUGAGUCAAUAAUGAAUAAACACAGUGUUUUGAAUUGAAAAUUUUGGCACAUUUCAGUGCAGUUACUAUUACUGAUAUAUUUUUCCUGUGGAUACACUGACAUUUAAAAACCAAUCUGUAACGAAGGGAAAAGAAAAAAUAACAUACAUAGCAUGUUGAAACAAAAGGCUCAGAAUCAGAAUUAUUUUGCAGAAAAAUCAGGUUUGAAAAUGUAUCUUUUUCUGGACAAAAGAGUGAAAUAAAACAGUUCAUUAACAGUGCUCAUACUCACUUGCAGACCCAGCAUAUGUGUGUACCACUGACACAACACACAGUUGCCUCCUAAAUACUGAAUUAAUUGUUAGGAUGAUAGUUAAUAGUCAUCCCCAGAUUUUCAAUUACGGGACGAUCCUCCUGUCAGUGCUGCUACUGCAAAUCUUUUCUUCCCCCUUGCAGUGCCCUUCCCUGUGCAACUGGGCAUUUUCAUUCCUCUAUUCAUUCCAGUGAACUACAGAGACCCUGAGCAUCUUUCUCUCUAUUAUUAUGCAGAUCUGCUUUUCUAGAUUCUCGGUAUUUUAUUUAUUGCACAAGCGUAACCCACUGGUAAUCAAUGACUACAAUUACAAGACCUUGAACACGAUGAUAGAAGAAAUAAUAUUUUAUGUUUGGCUUGAAAAUAAACACCCCUCCAUUAGCACAUUUUGCUCACCAUGACUACUGGUGAUGAAGGAAGUCGUCCACCUUGACAUCCCUUGAACCAGGCUACAGUACCACAAGGACUAUAUACACAUUAAAAGACAACUAAUUGAUUAGGGAUCUUUUAAAAAAUUUGGGCCAGAUCCUGAAUCCCACAUGCAUCACACAUUCAAAAAAUGAUUUUCCAAAAGACUCUGAGAAUUUCUGCAAGAUGCGUAGCACAUGUCUGACCUUUUCCUGUCCCCAUGAGGUUCCAGGUCCCUCCUCACUCUCAGCCCCAUAGGCACUGGCCAUCCGAGUCCUGAUCCUGCCAGAGUAGGACUGCAGAUGUGAUGAACACUAGCUGCUGUCUUUGCCUGGUAGACACGUCCAUCCAACACUGAAUCUUUCACAAAUUUUGCCUUCAGUAAAGAAGAGAGGAAGAAAAAUAGAAUAAGAAAUCAUGAAAACCAUUUUUAGAGGGAUUUUAAAUUUGUGCUGCGCUUUCUGAUUCAGAAUUUGAGCUGCACUCUGUGUUUCAGAUACAGUUGGACAUGUUAUUAAGACAAGCAAAGAUACAGUUGAAAAAUGCUGCUAAUAAUCUGGAUAAUUACUUUCAAAAUGAUCUACAUAAUUCCUGAAAUAGCUAAAAUAGAUACAUUCAACAUCCAUAACAAAGAAUAGUAUUCAAAGCAUUUAUAAACUAAAUACUGUUGCCACCACAGUCUCUUCAGACCUACCACCAAUUUGAUAUAUAUUUUCAGACAAGCCCAGGAAAAAUAUGAUUUGAAGGAUCCAUUAAAAGGGAAACUGCUGUUCAACUUUGGUUGUUGAUAGAGCCAUAAAAUAUAUAUUUAUAUGCAGUUUUAUAUAUACAAAAUGAAACUCACAUCCCACAGUAUCUUACUGGAGCUCAGAUGCAGCACAUGACAUAUUAUAUCUGUGGAAAUGGGAUCUAUAACCUAAUGUAUUCUUGCAUCAAAGAAUAAUGUCUCAUAAAUAAAUCAUUACAGCCUGUCACAUCUAUGGUUUCACACCGUAGUGUAUAAAAUAAUGUAUUUUGAGAUACGGGAGAAGGUGAUUAUCUAAUGUUUCAACAAAAAAAGAUUGUCCUGUGCUAAUGCAUGUGCUGUCUUAGAGGUGUUAUUGCCUUACCGCUGUUCAUUGAAGACUAAUCCAUCAUAUCAAAGGAGCGACAGCAUUUCACUUUUAAAAAACUGACACAAUUUGCACGCGGCUUUUCUCUUUCAGUAAUUAAGAAAUCAAAUAAGCCUGAGUGAAACUAUUUAAGAGGUUCUAGAUAUAAUUAGAACACCUCAUUCUCUCAUAACUAAUUCCUAAUUAAAGUAAUUUGUCUUUUUGCCCUUCUUUUCAAGGGUGAAGAGCAAGUGGUGAUGAAUGCUCAAAAUCAGGAAAAGUGAAAAUUGCAGUGUGUUGAUUUGCAGUGAUUGAGCGCGUUCCAGUUUUUAACAACCACCUUCGGCUGCAAUGCUAAAUGAAUCUCCAGCCUCUAUUUACAUUGAGAAUGUGUGAUCCAGAGCCUGACAAUUGAUAGAAUCUGGCGACAAAAGGGCUGAAGUCUGAGUCUGAGUUCAAAAGUUGCCUAUAUUAAGCUUUGCACAGGGGGAAAAAAUACAGUGAGACGGCACAGGAGAGAGAAGAAGUCUGAAAUUUGCUCCACUGGGUGAAAAUUGUCCUUUUAAAAUUUUAUUUGCAGCUGUGCCCAGAUGAUGACGGAUUUAUCAUAUGAACCAGGGAUUAGUAAACAAUGUGUACCCUAUAAAGAGCAAAACAAGUCCUUGCUCAUCACUGCACUUAAUUGCAGUGGUUAUAUCAAAGCCAUAUAAAAUUUAAUCAUCAACCACAAGUAAGAUUUUGCCUUGCAUGUGUGCUUGCUUCCCUGUUUUUCCACCUGUUUAAAUGAAAGAUUCUUGGAAUAUCACAAUAUGUAAAUAUUGUUUAUGAUGCAAAAAUAUGCUCUUUCAUCUCCUGGCUGCUUUGAUGUCGUGAUAUACAAAGCUUUUAGUGCCACCACCUACCUGACACACAAAGGUCUUAUCUGAUUCAUAAACAUGUGUGCCCAGUGCAAACAGGCUGUAUCCAAUAGAUGAUUUUUCUUUUCCUUGCAAUGUUUUUUUAACAGACAGAAAGAGAAAGAAAGUGUAAAUGACAGAACUGCUCAGGUGAAAAGAUUAUUUUAAGCAUCAGGUAAAGAUAAGCCCAUUAUGACAGAAGAAAAAGAUGUAGGUCAGUAUCGAUCCUAAGAGGUUAGUUAUAUAUAUAGUCAUCUCGUAAAAUGUGUUUUAAAAGCUGAAACUUUUUUUAAAGACUUUUGAUCCAAGUGGGAAAUAAGCAGCAAGAUCAGGUGCCCUCCUAAGACAUACAAAUAUGCCUAAUUAGCAGGAGAAGAAAGAGAAAAGCAGGAAGUGAGGUCAACACUGGAAACAGGGCAAACGGAGUCAGGGAGGGAAUAAGGUGUAGGUAAUAGUUAAAAUUUGCGGCUCAUUGGUAACAAUUUUAAACCUAAAGGAGCAGCUUAUUACAGGUUAAUCCAUGAUAUGUCUAAUUUACAGCUAUGUGUAUGUGAAUUUCUCAUAAAACAACGGGAUGGAGCUUCGGUCUGAUGGAGCCUGAAUUCUGCAAGGGGCAGCUGCUGUCUCCAGCUGAAAACACAAUACUGUUUGAGAGAAGUGUUACAACUGCUAGCAAAGGUCCUCUGGGCUUUUUAGGGCAAAUUAGGUCCCCAUACCCUCAGGGAUCCCACAGCUGUUCCCCCUGAGCACACAGAGCACCAAGAUGUGUGCUGAUGGCUGCAACAGCAGCAUAGCAGGGCUUGAUCUCAGCCACCUGAGAACAGAAUUUGGCCAUUUAAUAUCACACAAUAUCACAUAAACUGCAAGAACUUCAAGGUGUAAUGCUUCUUCUCUUUCUUCUUUCUCUCUUCUUUUUUUUUUUUCCCUUUCCAUUCCUUUUUUUUUUUUUUUUUUUCUCUGUAUCCAGGAGCACCCUGGGAAAUCCUUUCGUGUUCUUUAUUUCCAUCUAAGCCCUGGCUUGCUUUGAACAGCAGAGGUAAUUGUGCGGGUGAACUUCAGAGAUUUGAAGGGAUCAAACUUGAAAGCCCCUGCCUGAAAGUGCAAGCUCCAACUGGAAUGUUGUCAGGUGCUGUGAGACGGGACGUGGCGGUGCUGCCGUCGGAGGAAUCCUUGCACAGGGACAGUCUGAACCUGCGCAGCGCUCCCUUUGCACAGCCCCUGCAGUUAGCAAGGCUCCCAUAACCCACAGCAGUGCUCAAAUGAGGCAGUACUGCCCUCUCUGAUCUAUAAAUGGGUGUGUGUGAUGAUGUGACUUGAUGAAGGUCAUCUAUGUCAGACAGUGGCAGAGGGUGAAGAAACCAUCCUGAUGUCUAUUUUCAGGUUUUCCCUGAGCACAUCAGAGCAGAGAAGCCAAAGGGAUGCAGGUCUACAUCGUUUAUGAGAGCUACAUGUUCCUCUGGCUAGAAAAUCCUGGGGGAUUCAAUAAUAAUAAUAAAAAAAGAAGAAUCAGGGAAGAACUGAGAAGAAUAUAAUAGAAGUUUGCAGAUGGGGAAUUUCAGAAACCAGCAAAAUUCACGGAAGGAGAUUGUUACAAAGCACAGCCUUUGCAAUGGAUUUAUACAUUCUUUUAAAUUUUACACGACAGCCAAAACACUCCAGAUACGCUUCCUCCCUCUGCCAGUUUUCCUCGAUCUUCUCUUUGAGCAUAGGUGAAGUUCCUCAUGUUCCAAGACAGGGCAGGGUAUGUUCUGCUGCCAUUUCCCACACCCUUCUCAUGCCGUAUCUGACUAUCAGCACUGCUGCAAUCCAGGAAAACAGGAAACAUCAGAGCCAGUUGGAUUUUUCAACUCCUGAAUGUGUUUUGUUCAGAGUUCCUUUGGAAAAUAAUCAGGAAAACAAAAUAUGUUUUUACAAUUGUUUUUCCCCACUGGGUUUCAGACAACAGCAGCUAUAACAUGAAGUGAAAAAUAUAUUUAUUUCUUCUUCAAUCAAAAAUAUUUGGCUUGACCAAGAAAAUCUAUCUCAGUAAUCACAUGCUGUGUCAAUGCCAUCCAUCUUCUUCUACAAUAGCUAUUGUCAUCGAUAGUGAAAGUUUGUUUCCUGUAGUAAGAAGCAUGGGAGAUGUCCUUUCUUGUUCCGUAUUUUGUUCUGCUUUGCCCUGUCAUAAGGCUAUUAACUACACAGUUACGUUUCAUUUUAAGAUUCUCAGUUAACACUCCCUGUCUUUACACUGCAAACUGUUUCAUCUUCUGAAUUGCGAUCUGCCAGUGGCUGAUGCUGGCAACACAGCACAACGUACAGACUUCUGAUCUCUUUUGGCCUGCAAGCUUUUCUUUCCUAACUGAUGGAUGAAAACCAAUUCCCUGUGCAAUUUGCUGAACUUUACUGUGGUUCUCAGUGCUAUUUCAAUUUAUGCCUAAUAGGUGGAGAAUCACAGAAUGUCCCCGAAGAUCACUGAGCCCAUCUCCUGGCUCCACUUGGGGCUCCCUAAGAAUUAAACCAAAGACAUGUGAAUGCAAACUGAUUCAGAUGAAAUCCAUGACAGUCCUUCCACUUCCGGCCCUCUCAUAUGGGCAGACCCUUGCUUCAUUCUCACUUACUAUUGAAUAAAUAGUAUACGACUUUUGUGGAAUCAGCUAAGGAUUAGUGUUCCACACUCACACUUGUUGCCAUCCAUCUCUUUUCCAAAUUAUCCAUUUCAGCCACUGUGUGUGUUGAAGAGGUGUAAAACAUUGGUCUGAUAUGUGUGUGCUAUUACAGGAAGAAAUACAAGAGCAAACUCUCCUCUAACCCAUUUGAAUGCUUGUGAGACUGUUGGAGUUGUUGAGGUUCAAGGAAUGCCAUCUCCCAGGCUCCUCAUUGUCAUCUUCUUGGUAUCUGAACAUCUGGGGACAGCUGAGUCUGUGCAAGUUCAGUAGGAAAAGGAAAAUUAGUCAAAAGUACAUUUCUGCUCUGUAAGUGGUGUAUUUAAUUUCCAGCUAUGGAACAAAACACAAUUACCCAUGGUCCAUUUUUUCUGGGGUCAAGGCUGGCUAGAUUGUUGUAAUAAUCGUAAUAACACUCCCUCACUUGCUAUUUACCUUGGGAGCUAUUUGCUGUCCUUUGUCUGCAUCUGACUGUUGUGUAGGGACUGUGCCACAUCUUUGUGGUACAGCGUGUGUUUGGUUGCAGGGAUCUUUUGUGUCAGAAAAGGUAAACUUUGCACUCACAUAAAUUCUGUACUAGCCAGGACACAGUGAGACCUAUUCAGACUACUCACUUUCGUGAUAUAUGUAGCCACAUAAUCAUGGAAUAAAGACUCUGCAAAGUAUAUAGUGUUUUAAAGAUAACUUGUACUACAGCAGCGCAUAGAGGAAGGGGUGCUUUGUAUGAAUUACACAGAAAAAGUAUACUUCGCCAUGACCUGGGGAUUAGUUGCAGAUUCAACUCCAGUUUGGUUUGGCCAGAUGUGCAAAAGCUAGGAGGAAGGUGUAGAAAGCACCAGUGUAACCAUGUGAAACCAGGCUUUGAAAAAUAAAGAACUGGCUCAAGAUCACAGGACAUGAUCUAUGGAAGAGAAAGAAGUUAUGCAUGUAUCUCCCGAAUUGCUCUGUAGUGUAGUAACUAGUAUUCCCUUUACUCCCUUGAUACUAUAUGGGAUGUAAAAUAAUGCUCAGUUGCUGACCUCACAUACAGCAAACUGACCCAUUGUUUUCUAGGGAAAUUCAGCCAUGCAGAAAGGAAAUGCUCAGACAUCUAAAUAGCAAAACCAAAGCACUUAUGACCUUUUCUCCUGCCAAGAUCAAAGCAGCAACUUAUUUUCUCCUUUUUUCAAAUUUUAGUGACAUUAGCUAAUGUCACUGCUAAUGUCAACGUGCCAAGGUAUCUUGGUGCCAACUGAACAGCCAGGACUGGUAUUGCAAAGAUACUAAUGAUGUGCUGCUGCUGUCUCAAAGGGAUCCAUGCUGCCAGGCGCUUGUGAAGGACAAGGAAUAAUUUGUACUUUGCAUUGAGCCUUUCACUUGCUUGCAAAAGGUUGCCUGAGUGGAAUGGAACACACAUCAUAAGCUCAACACUUCUUUCAAAUUCCAAACAUACUUUCCUAACUCCACUUAUUACUAAAAUCAUGAUUUUAUCAUUCAAGAGCCCUAGCAAAUCAGCAGAGAAGAAUGUAAGAAAAUUCUACUACUGAGAUCCUAGCCUUGUUGUUCACAGGAAGUUAAAGCGAAACUCUUACAAGCAGAGCAGAGAUGCUUAACAGUCCUUGUGUGCUCACAAAGAAAAUAGAUUUUGUUUAUCAUUUAGAUCAAAAGAACAGGCAGAUUUUUAUUGAUUUUUGAGAUACAGCACUGAUCUUUGCCUCUGCGUCUAAUGGCUGUGAGCACUGGGUGCUACAGUAAUAGUGAGGAAAUAUAGCAAUUUUACACUGUUAAAUCUUUAUCUUGACUGUCUCUAAUUUAUCCAUCUUUAAUAAACCCCACUGCUCUGCAGCUGGUAACUAAAUCAGAGGCACAAGCACAACAUGAAGAGGACAAACUGAAGCCUUCUCCACAAGAUAUGAGGAAAGGACAUGACCUGCAAAUACACUGCCGAAAAGGCUGUGUAUAUCUUAAAUCUCAAUAAAUUCCUUAUUGUGGUGAUUUGGGAUAGCGUGGUGGCACAGCACUGAGUUUCAGUAAAGAAGGAGCUAUUCAGAUUAGCUGCUCUCCAGGGCUGUGGGCCCAGCUCCCUCAGGAUCCAAUGAAAAAAAGGAACUUGUGCAUACAGUAUGAAUAGAGUUUCUGCAAGUGAAUCAAAAUCUAGUCAUAGUGAAUAGAAUCAUAGAAUCACUAAGGUUGGAAAAGACCACUAAAAUCUUCUAGUCCAACCAUCAACUCAUCCCCACCAUGCCCACUGAUCAUGUCCCUCAGUGUCACAUCUCCACAGUUCUGGAACACCUCCAGGGACAGUGACUGCACCACCUUCCUGAGCAGCCUGUGCCACUGCAGCACCACUCCUGAGAAGAAAAUUUUCCUAAUAUCCAAUCUGAACAUUUCCUGGCACUACUUACAGCCAUUACCUCUUGACCUAUUGCUGUUACCUGGGAGAAUAGACCAACCUCCACCUUUUGUCUUGGUGGCAGUAUUUGAAUAGCUGGUCUUGCCAUUUGCUUCUUGACUUCUUUGGUUGAAAUGCCAGAAGAGGCUUGUAAUCCCACUUUGUGCAGUCUAAAAUCUGACCAUAACUCUUUAUCUUCUGAAGCUACUGCAGCUACUGAAAAAGGGUAGUAACUUACCAUCUGACAAUGGGAAAGGAAAAAUGCUGUUCUAGACUCUCUGCUUUCAAAAUGUUCUUCCUUACCUGAAAAGUUUACCUAGUUUAUUCAAUAUUCAUGCUUUUCAGACAUGAUGCCCUUGCUUCCUAUGUUCAAAUUGUAAGGAAGUGUUAUUGCCCAAUGCCAGAAACAUGCAACUAUUCUUUAAUACACCAGAUGCACUGACAUAUUUGCACUCAUACUCAGACUCUUACAUAAAUUUCAUUUUCCACUGAAACAAAAGAUUGUACCUUUGCAGGUCAUGAGGUCACCAAAAAGCCAACCACUAUUUUGUUAAAUUAAAGAUCUGAAUUUGUUCUGCAACAGAAAGGUUUGAGGGAUUUCAUAGACAUGAAUCAACUUGGAUUUUUGAAAAUUGGGGUAUUUUUACUUCUCAUUUUACUGGCAUAACAGUGAAAGAUGUACUUCCAGAAGACAUAUUUGUAUAUCUAACUUCUCACUUUUCAUCACUGUCUAUAUGAUAACUGUGACUGCAGUUUUUUUGCACUGGUAAAAGAGAAUAUCAGUUGUGCAUCAGCUGUGCUCGUCAUAAGAGACUCUUAAGUCUUAGCCAAUGUGAAUACAGAGGAGUCUAUACUUUUGCACAGACAAAAGCUUCUGACCUUCUUUACUGGCAGAGUGAAAAUGAGUGUUAGCCUCCUUGCUCAGGCAGCAUUUCAUCCUAUGAGAUCAUUUUAGUUCCUUUUAAUAACUUGUAUUUGUUUUGUGAGGUAUUUAGGAAGCGUUGGCAGGUAGGGUGCAUGAGUGAAACUCUUUCUUAUGUUAGAGCUAUUUGGAAUAGAAGACAAUUGAGAUUAGCUGAUGACUGAGUAUUCUUAGGGAAUGAACUUCUCUCUUUGAAACUCUGAGCUCAUGUGUUACUACAUUUAACUCGCAGCUCUGUCAGCUUUACAACAGCACAGGGGCAUGCAGGGUGCACGAUGGCAGCAGCGAUGGGGGAUUCACUGGGUAACGCUGCAGGUGCACGUGUUGCUCAUGGCAGCAGCUCCAGCCAGAAAUGCUGCUUUUAUCGAGGUCAUAAAUCAUGUCAGCCCUCCUGAAUACAGUUUUUCAAAAGGGUGAAGCCAUGGCUUGUGUGCUGGAUAUUUAUCUUGCUCUUCCUAAUGCUUUCCCAAAAGCUCUCCUUGAAGGCGGUAAACAGUUCUUUUGGCCAUAAUUAGAACUAAUUGAUUGCUAGAGGGGUUUUAGACCUGUGUCAAACCAAAGGGACAGAGAUGGGAAGAGGAGGCUGAUUCCCAGGCUGUUUCCUUGGCCGUGUACGUGGGCACACAUCAUGGAAGGGAUGAGUUCUAUUGACCCAAGGCAGUGGUGCUCAGGUGUCUGGUGAGUGUGGUGGGAGCCUCUCUGUACUCUGCUGUGGCUGCAGAGACGAUGUGAGCUUUGAACACUCACUCCACGCUCUGCAAAGUGGCAAUGUGGCCCCUGCCAUCCCCGAGGCUGGGCUGAAAGCUCUGAAGUUUGCAGAGAAACAUGCUGCGUCAGGCACAACCAGGCUGGCCCCACAUAAAGUCAAUACUUGUGUGAAAACAAAUAAAAUCUUAGAGUACGAGGCAGAGGCUAAAGAAUGCCUUCACCUCUUUCCUUCAAGCAACUAUUUUGUUAACUUGAAAGACGGCAGGGGUGAUCUUACUCCAUUCUUUCUCUACAGGUCAAAUACUUGUCAUAGGAGACACCCUAGUUAAUAUUAAACUAAAAAUUAAUAGAUUAGAUAACUAUUAUAUGCUUUUAGUGCCAAUUAAUUUAAUAGCUGGUUUUUUUUGUUUUGUUUUGUUUUCUCUUUUUCUAGCAAGGUAGGUGAAUAUAGCAGCACAGUUUACUGUGUCUGUAUGAGCUCUCAGAUGGGUCUUUUGUGCUACAAUUACCACCAAUUGAUUGGACUGACACAUGUAAUCCCCUUUGGAUCACCCAACGAUAUGAUGUCAGUAAGAAGUCCUUCAAACAGACUAUUAAAAAGCACAUUAAACAUGUCCUUAUUGUAAGCUUUAUGCUAGCUUAUGCUAAAAUAACAGUGAUACAGUGGUAUUUGUUUGAAAAUGAAAGGAUUAUAUGGUCUUUGUAAAAUGAGGAAUUUAGUAUUGGGAGGGGCAGUGGGAUGGUGAUUUAUUUUUUGUUUAUGUUCUUCCGAAUCCUUUGAUAUGUCAACUUCUGUCACUAACCAUUAGGCCACUUGUAAUUUCUUGUAUCAACGAAGAUGAAAUACAUACUGCCUCCAAUAAUUUAUGUCAAAUAUUGAAGGGCAUGGAUGGUAGUGCUUAUUGUGAGAUUAUAAUGAGAAUUGAACUGGGGGCUUCAGAAAUCCAUAGGUAAUUUAUUGUUAAAGAGCACGCAUGAAUCACUCCGGCCUUUAAUUGUCAUGUGGAUGCAUUUUGCUUUCAGCUUGCGCUGGAAACAAAUUGCUGAAAUGGAAUGAUAACUCAGAAGAAAGAUUUCACCAUGACCCUUUGUACUUAUUAAUAUAGUGCCAAGAGUGUAAUGAGUGCCAUGCCUUCUCUUGGGUCAGAUUCUGGUGCGUAGUGAAAGGAAUGCCUUGAAAUUUGUAUUGCUUUUCAUGAAGAAGAAAAACAUAAACAGUAGCAUAUACACCUCGCAAGCAAGGGCUGAGAGUCAAAAAGAUUUGUGGUAUUUAUAAUACUGCACAAUAAAGGUGACCAGGGGAUUUUAUAGGAUGAUUUAACACUGAACUGUGCAAAGAAAUUAAGCCGUUCUGGAGAUUUCUUUGUAACGCACCAACAUCCUCAUCAUCCCUCUUUGCUCUGCUCUCUUUUUAUCUUACAACGUCAAGGUAACACUCCAAAGUGGUUAACCAACUGCUGUGCAUAUCUUACAUAGAUGUGCUGCUUUAGAUCAUGCUGCUGCUCCCAGAGAGAGAAAUUUCAUUGUUAACCCGAAUCUAGGUGUUUUUGUCAAAAAAAUCAAAGCUACCAGAAAAUGGAUAUAAAUUAUUCGCAGGGUCUGGUUUUCUGUCUGCUUUAAUAUCAUGUAAUCAAAGGACAGAUUACUCAAAAUUACUCCUCUUGAGUGCUUCAGUGUAGUCAUCACAGCACUUCUCUGCGACUACUUCACAGUUUCUCAUAAUGUAAGAAUUAGGGGCUACGCAGUGAAACUAGGAAACAGCAAGCUUAAAAUAUACAAAAAAAAAAAA